GCGGUAACAGCUCAAAUUUGAAAUCUGGGUCUUUCAGGCUCCGAGUUGUAAUUUGUAGAAGAUGCUUUGGGUGCGGUCCCGGUCUAAGUUCCUUGGAACAGGACGUCAUAGAGGGUGAGAAUCCCGUAUGUGAUCGGUGGCUUGCGCCCGUGUAAAGCUCUUUCGACGAGUCGGGUUGUUUGGGAAUGCAGCUCUAAAUGGGUGGUAAAUUUCAUCUAAAGCUAAAUAUUGGCCAGAGACCGAUAGCGCACAAGUAGAGUGAUCGAAAGAUGAAAAGCACUUUGGAAAGAGAGUUAAACAGUACGUGAAAUUGUUGAAAGGGAAGCGCUUGCAACCAGACUUGCGCGGGGUUGAUCAUCCGGGGUUCUCCCCGGUGCACUCGGCCUCGCUCAGGCCAGCAUCGGUUUCGGUGGUUGGAUAAAGGCCUUGGGAAUGUGACUUCUUUCGGGGAGUGUUAUAGCCCUCGGUGCAAUGCAGCCUACCGGGACCGAGGACCGCGCUUCGGCUAGGAUGCUGGCGUAAUGGUUGUAAGCGACCCGUCUUGAAACACGGACCAAGGAGUCUAACAUCUAUGCGAGUGUUUGGGCGUCAAACCCAUACGCGUAAUGAAAGUGAACGGAGGUGAGAACCCUUAAGGGUGCAUCAUCGACCGAUCCUGAUGUCUUCGGAUGGAUUUGAGUAAGAGCAUAGCUGUUGGGACCCGAAAGAUGGUGAACUAUGCCUGAAUAGGGUGAAGCCAGAGGAAACUCUGGUGGAGGCUCGCAGCGGUUCUGACGUGCAAAUCGAUCGUCAA
rnacentral:rRNA from 1 species